rnacentral:rRNA from 1 species
AUGUUAUCACGGGAGACACACGGCGGGUGCUAACGUCCGUCGUGAAGAGGGAAACAACCCAGACCGCCAGCUAAGGUCCCAAAGUCAUGGUUAAGUGGGAAACGAUGUGGGAAGGCCCAGACAGCCAGGAUGUUGGCUUAGAAGCAGCCAUCAUUUAAAGAAAGCGUAAUAGCUCACUGGUCGAGUCGGCCUGCGCGGAAGAUGUAACGGGGCUAAACCAUGCACCGAAGCUGCGGCAGCGACGCUGAUGCGUUGUUGGGUAGGGGAGCGUUCUGUAAGCCUGUGAAGGUGGCCUGUGAGGGUUGCUGGAGGUAUCAGAAGUGCGAAUGCUGACAUAAGUAACGAUAAAGCGGGUGAAAAGCCCGCUCGCCGGAAGACCAAGGGUUCCUGUCCAACGUUAAUCGGGGCAGGGUGAGUCGACCCCUAAGGCGAGGCCGAAAGGCGUAGUCGAUGGGAAACGGGUUAAUAUUCCCGUACUUGGUGUUACUGCGAAGGGGGGACGGAGAAGGCUAUGUUGGCCGGGCGACGGUUGUCCCGGUUUAAGCGUGUAGGUGUGUGUUCCAGGUAAAUCCGGUUCACUUUAACACUGAGGCGUGAUGACGAGGCACUACGGUGCUGAAGCAACAAAUGCCCUGCUUCCAGGAAAAGCCUCUAAGCAUCAGGUAACAUCAAAUCGUACCCCAAACCGACACAGGUGGUCAGGUAGAGAAUACCAAGGCGCUUGAGAGAACUCGGGUGAAGGAACUAGGCAAAAUGGUGCCGUAACUUCGGGAGAAGGCACGCUGACACGUAGGUGAAGUGAUUUACUCAUGGAGCUGAAGUCAGUCGAAGAUACCAGCUGGCUGCAACUGUUUAUUAAAAACACAGCACUGUGCAAACACGAAAGUGGACGUAUACGGUGUGACGCCUGCCCGGUGCCGGAAGGUUAAUUGAUGGGGUCAGCGCAAGCGAAGCUCCUGAUCGAAGCCCCGGUAAACGGCGGCCGUAACUAUAACGGUCCUAAGGUAGCGAAAUUCCUUGUCGGGUAAGUUCCGACCUGCACGAAUGGCGUAAUGAUGGCCAGGCUGUCUCCACCCGAGACUCAGUGAAAUUGAACUCGCUGUGAAGAUGCAGUGUACCCGCGGCAAGACGGAAAGACCCCGUGAACCUUUACUAUAGCUUGACACUGAACAUUGAGCCUUGAUGUGUAGGAUAGGUGGGAGGCUUUGAAGUGUGGACGCCAGUCUGCAUGGAGCCGGCCUUGAAAUACCACCCUUUAAUGUUUGAUGUUCUAACGUGGACCCGUGAUCCGGGUUGCGGACAGUGUCUGGUGGGUAGUUUGACUGGGGCGGUCUCCUCCUAAAGAGUAACGGAGGAGCACGAAGGUUGGCUAAUCCUGGUCGGACAUCAGGAGGUUAGUGCAAUGGCAUAAGCCAGCUUGACUGCGAGCGUGACGGCGCGAGCAGGUGCGAAAGCAGGUCAUAGUGAUCCGGUGGUUCUGAAUGGAAGGGCCAUCGCUCAACGGAUAAAAGGUACUCCGGGGAUAACAGGCUGAUACCGCCCAAGAGUUCAUAUCGACGGCGGUGUUUGGCACCUCGAUGUCGGCUCAUCACAUCCUGGGGCUGAAGUAGGUCCCAAGGGUAUGGCUGUUCGCCAUUUAAAGUGGUACGCGAGCUGGGUUUAGAACGUCGUGAGACAGUUCGGUCCCUAUCUGCCGUGGGCGCUGGAGAACUGAGGGGGGCUGCUCCUAGUACGAGAGGACCGGAGUGGACGCAUCACUGGUGUUCGGGUUGUCAUGCCAAUGGCACUGCCCGGUAGCUAAAUGCGGAAGAGAUAAGUGCUGAAAGCAUCUAAGCACGAAACUUGCCCCGAGAUGAGUUCUCCCUGAGACUUAGAGUCUCCUGAAGGAACGUUGAAGACGACGACGUUGAUAGGCCGGGUGUGUAAGCGCAGCGAUGCGUUGAGCUAACCGGUACUAAUGAACCGUGAGGCUUAACCUUACA